rnacentral:rRNA from 1 species
AUGAACGCUAGCUACAGGCUUAACACAUGCAAGUCGAGGGGCAGCAUGAACUUAGCUUGCUAAGUUUGAUGGCGACCGGCGCACGGGUGAGUAACACGUAUCCAACCUGCCGAUGACUCGGGGAUAGCCUUUCGAAAGAAAGAUUAAUACCCGAUGGCAUAAUUCUUCCGCAUGGUAGAACUAUUAAAGAAUUUCGGUCAUCGAUGGGGAUGCGUUCCAUUAGGUUGUUGGCGGGGUAACGGCCCACCAAGCCUUCGAUGGAUAGGGGUUCUGAGAGGAAGGUCCCCCACAUUGGAACUGAGACACGGUCCAAACUCCUACGGGAGGCAGCAGUGAGGAAUAUUGGUCAAUGGACGAGAGUCUGAACCAGCCAAGUAGCGUGAAGGAUGACUGCCCUAUGGGUUGUAAACUUCUUUUAUACGGGAAUAAAGUGAGGCACGCGUGCCUUUUUGUAUGUACCGUAUGAAUAAGGAUCGGCUAACUCCGUGCCAGCAGCCGCGGUAAUACGGAGGAUCCGAGCGUUAUCCGGAUUUAUUGGGUUUAAAGGGAGCGUAGGCGGACGCUUAAGUCAGUUGUGAAAGUUUGCGGCUCAACCGUAAAAUUGCAGUUGAUACUGGGUGUCUUGAGUACAGUAGAGGCAGGCGGAAUUCGUGGUGUAGCGGUGAAAUGCUUAGAUAUCACGAAGAACUCCGAUUGCGAAGGCAGCCUGCUGGACUGUAACUGACGCUGAUGCUCGAAAGUGUGGGUAUCAAACAGGAUUAGAUACCCUGGUAGUCCACACAGUAAACGAUGAAUACUCGCUGUUUGCGAUAUACAGUAAGCGGCCAAGCGAAAGCGUUAAGUAUUCCACCUGGGGAGUACGCCGGCAACGGUGAAACUCAAAGGAAUUGACGGGGGCCCGCACAAGCGGAGGAACAUGUGGUUUAAUUCGAUGAUACGCGAGGAACCUUACCCGGGCUCAAACGCACGACGGCGGCACGUGAAAGCGUGCUUACCUACGGGACGUUGUGCGAGGUGCUGCAUGGUUGUCGUCAGCUCGUGCCGUGAGGUGUCGGCUUAAGUGCCAUAACGAGCGCAACCCUUAUCGAUAGUUACCAUCAGGUUAUGCUGGGGACUCUGUCGAGACUGCCGUCGUAAGAUGUGAGGAAGGUGGGGAUGACGUCAAAUCAGCACGGCCCUUACGUCCGGGGCUACACACGUGUUACAAUGGGGGGUACAGAAGGCAGCUACACGGCGACGUGAUGCUAAUCCCGAAAGCCUCUCUCAGUUCGGAUUGGAGUCUGCAACCCGACUCCAUGAAGCUGGAUUCGCUAGUAAUCGCGCAUCAGCCACGGCGCGGUGAAUACGUUCCCGGGCCUUGUACACACCGCCCGUCAAGCCAUGAAAGCCGGGGGUACCUGAAGUGCGUAACCGCGAGGAGCGCCCUAGGGUAAAACUGGUGAUUGGGGCU